CCCGCCCCCGCCUGUUCACCAUGGGCCCCCCCCCCAGCAGCCAGCCUGCUCCUGCUGCUCCUCCUCGGAUUGGCGGCUGCAGAGAGAGAUUGCAGUUCGUGCCUGCCGGGCCCCGGCCCAAUGGCGGCGCUGGUCGUGGCUGACAUCAUCAUGACGCUGCUCAUACGCGGGCGGAGCUUACUGCCUGGGGGGGCGGGGCCAGCGAGCCGCGGUGAAGCCCCGCCCCCCGAGACAGAGUCGACCUAUCAGGAGCUCCAGGGCGCCCGCGGGGACAUCUACAGCGAGCUCAAGCGAUAAGAGGCCCCGCCCCUUCACCCGGAGACCCCGCCCCCUUAAGCCCCUCCCCUUCCCAAUAAAGC